AGUGAACGCUGGCGGUAGGCCUAACACAUGCAAGUCGAACGGCAGCACAGUAAGAGCUUGCUCUUACGGGUGGCGAGUGGCGGACGGGUGAGGAAUACAUCGGAAUCUACUUUUUCGUGGGGGAUAACGUAGGGAAACUUACGCUAAUACCGCAUACGACCUACGGGUGAAAGCAGGGGAUCUUCGGACCUUGCGCGAUUGAAUGAGCCGAUGUCGGAUUAGCUAGUUGGCGGGGUAAAGGCCCACCAAGGCGACGAUCCGUAGCUGGUCUGAGAGGAUGAUAGGCCACACUGGAACUGGGACACGGUCCAGACUACUACGGGAGGCAGCAGUGGGGAAUAUUGGACAAUGGGCGCAAGCCUGAUCCAGCCAUACCGCGUGGGUGAAGAAGGCCUUCGGGUUGUAAAGCCCUUUUGUUGGGAAAGAAAAGCAGCAGGUUAAUACCCCGCUGUUCUGACGGUACCCAAAGAAUAAGCACCGGCUAACUUCGUG
rnacentral:rRNA from 1 species